GACGAACGCUGGCGGCGUGCUUAACACAUGCAAGUCGAACGAAAAGCGAUGGAAGCUUGCUUCUAUCAGUCUGAGUAGCGGACGGGUAAGUAACGCGUAAUCAACCUGCCCUUCAGAGGGAAACAAAAGUAGGAAACGACUGCUAAUACCGCAUACGCUCUCAGCUCGGCAUCGAGGAGAGAUGAUAGGUGGCCUCUACUUGUAAGCUAGCAUUGAAGGAGGGGAGUGCGUCUGAUUAGCUAGUUGGCGUGGUAGCGUCGCAACAAGGCGAUGAUCAGUGGCCGGUCGGAGAUGACGAGCGGCCGCAUUGGGACUGUGACACGGCCCAGACGCCUACGGGAGGCAGCAGUGGGGAAUCUGGCGCAAUGGACGAAAGACUGACGGCGCAACGCCGCGGGAUGGAUGACGGCCUUCGGGUUGUAAAGCUCGGUUAAUCGGGUGGAAAGGCCUUCUUGCGAAUAGUGAGAAGGAUUGACGGUACCGGGAUAGAAAGCCACGGCUAACUACGUG
rnacentral:rRNA from 1 species